rnacentral:rRNA from 1 species
CAGUAGCCACGGUAAUACGAAGGGGGCUAGCGUUGUUCGGAAUUACUGGGCGUAAAGCGCACGUAGGCGGAUAUUUAAGUCAGGGGUGAAAUCCCGCAGCUCAACUGCGGAACUGCCUUUGAUACUGGGUAUCUUGAGUAUGGAAGAGGUUAGUGGAAUUGCGAGUGUAGAGGUGAAAUUCGUAGAUAUUCGCAGGAACACCAGUGGCGAAGGCGGCUAACUGGUCCAUAACUGACGCUGAGGUGCGAAAGCGUGGGGAGCAAACAGGAUUAGAUACCCGCGUAGUCCCUGUCUCUUAUAU